rnacentral:tRNA from 1 species
GCCAAGGUGGCAGAGUAGUGCAGCGGACUUAGAAUCCGAAAAUGUUUUUAACCUUUGGCU